ensembl:snoRNA SNORD82 Small nucleolar RNA SNORD82
GCUACACAUGAUGAUCUAAAGGGACUUAAUACUGAAACGUGAUGUCACCUUUACAUUACUUCUGAUGCUG